CACGUAGGGCGCAAGCGUUGUCCGGAAUUAUUGGGCGUAAAGAGCUCGUAGGCGGUCUGUUGCGUCCGCUGUGAAAACUCGGGGCUUAACCCCGAGCCUGCAGUGGAUACGGGCAGACUAGAGGUAGGUAGGGGAGAAUGGAAUUCCCGGUGUAGCGGUGAAAUGCGCAGAUAUCGGGAGGAACACCAGUGGCGAAGGCGGCUACCUGGACCGGAACUGACGCUGAUGCGCGAAAGCGUGGGUAGCAAACAGGA
rnacentral:rRNA from 1 species